CCGCGGAGCAGCACGCAUCACGCACCAAAUGACCCAAAAACAAAUGGUACGUCAGGUUGAGGGUCAAUAUCGAUCAGAUUAUCAAAUAAUAUACCAAAAUUGAUACAUAUGAUACAUAUGAAUGAUAUAUGUUUUGGAUAUAUUAUUUGUUAAAAUUAAUUCAUCAGGUGAUGAUGUGAUGAUAAUCAUUGAAAAAUGACAAAAAUCCCCUGAUUAAGUAUGAUAAAAAUAGUAAGUAAAAAAGGCAAAUUUUUUAUUCUUACAAAAUAUCUAAUUGUAAUAAUAAAUUAUUUCUUCUUUCAUUUUAAUUACUGAAAACCAUAAUAAUAAAAAAAAAAAAAAAAAAAAUAAAAUUUUUAUUUUUUUUUUUUUAUAUUUUUUUUUUAAUGUUAUAUUGCGUGUGUUAAUAGCAAAAAAAAAAUGAAAGAAAUAAAAAAAAAAUUAUAUGAUACAAAAAAACCCAUAAUAUAUUAAAUUUUUUUUCUUUUUUAUCUCCACUCCACUCUAGAAUACCUAUAAAAUAAACCCCGCGG
rnacentral:misc_RNA from 1 species